UCAAUCUGUCACUCACUUCCGUCUUGUUUGUUCUGUUUGUUUUUAUUGCGUUUACGCGUUUAUCUGUCUGUCUCCCGAGUUCUUUUUAUCAACAUUUCUCUGUGACCUGGCUUUCGUUCUUGGAUUGCUAUCUGCCUCAUCUGAUGACCAUGGCAUGUGUUGUAUGGACUUGAGACACAUCGUGCGAUUUGACUGUUGUUUUGAUAAACAUCCUCCUAGGAUCCGAUUGAUUCCCGAUACUAUCAGUGUAGUGAAAUGGGCCCUGAAAUCAUUUCUAUUAUUCAAAAUGCCAUAUGCCAAAAGGUCCGGAGACGUACUCAUAACCUAACAGACUAUGCCAGACAGUUUAAUGAAGAAAAUAUUUCACCACAAGUAUAUUUAAGCACCCGAAGAUGGCUUAGUGU